AUUGAACGCUGGCGGCAUGCCUUACACAUGCAAGUCGAACGCCAGCACGGGGCAACCUGGUGGCGAGUGGCGAACGGGUGAGUAAUGCAUCGGAACGUACCUUUCAGUGGGGGAUAACGUAGCGAAAGUUACGCUAAUACCGCAUAUUCUGUGAGCAGGAAAGCAGGGGAUCGCAAGACCUUGCGCUGAUUGAGCGGCCGAUGUCAGAUUAGCUAGUUGGUGAGGUAAAGGCUCACCAAGGCGACGAUCUGUAGCGGGUCUGAGAGGAUGAUCCGCCACACUGGAACUGAGACACGGGCCAGACUCCUACGGGAGGCAGCAGUGGGGAAUUUUGGACAAUGGGGGCAACCCUGAUCCAGCCAUGCCGCGUGAGUGAAGAAGGCCUUCGGGUUGUAAAGCUCUUUCGGCCGGGAAGAAAUCGCACGGGCUAAUACCCUGCGUGGAUGACGGUACCGGAAUAAGAAGCACCGGCUAACUACGUGCCAGCCGCCGCCGUAAAAC
rnacentral:rRNA from 1 species